CAUGUGUGUAAGGUCAGUGCAAACUGCAAACUCAAAGGGGGUGACCGGUCAAAGAAAAGAGAGCAUCCUUCUUGCAGCAAAAUCAACUUUUUAGUCUUCAAUCGUAUCAGGAGUAGCCUUCAAAGUCGUCAUGGAAGACAACAGCAGUUUCUUCGCAAAUAGGACAUCUUCAACAAUGGAAACUUUGCAAGAAGAACACAACACAAAACUGGAGAGGACACGCGUGCUCAAGAAUCAAAUCAAAGACGUGAAGCGUCAACUAGAAGAAACCAAGAAUGGAAAUGUAUAUGAUAAAAUCGAAGCUACGAAGAACUUAAGUGAAAAAUAUAAGCAAUUAAGAGAAGAAUAUAAUUUGCUCCUUGGUCAGAAAUCAGGAACAAAGCAACUUAAUUAAGGAUUUGAAUUAUGGCUUUUUACUAGUGUUGUUUUGAUGUUUCGAUGUGUAGGUUAAUAUGCAAGGAUGCAAUGGUAUUUGUUAUUUUGCAUAUGAUAACAACUCACUUCUUGAAUUUGAAUCUCUACAUCGUCAGAAUAGGUUUAUAAUAAAACUUUUUUUCCUCGAAAUUCACUCUCGACAACCCUUUGCAAAUGACUUGUCGUCGGCAUUGGUGGCUCUGUACCGACGACAUUUAUCCCGACGAGGCUAUACCGACGAUUUUGUAUACAGACGCCAAGUCGUUGAUAUAGGCUUUGACGACAACAUGUCGUCGGCAUAGUGGCUGAAAGUGUCGUCGCCAUAUGCCUCAUUCCUGGUGGUGAAAUAAAAGGAUGACACUUAGGUUAGGUAAUUUCAUAGUGGAUAUGUUUAACUAAAUGAUUUGAAAACUUCAACUCAACUUAACAUGAUUUAUAAAUCGGUUGAGAAAUAUAAACUUAACCUGACAUGUUUAGUAAAUAGGUGUAAACCAGAUUGACAAGUUUAUUUUUUUUUCUCAUCCCAACAUGUUUGAUAGACGGGUUGAACACGGAUUGGAACACUUAAAUAAAAAAUAAA